rnacentral:rRNA from 2 species
CGGCGAGUGAAGCGGCAACAGCUCAAAUUUGAAAUCUGGCUCCUUUGGGGUCCGAGUUGUAAUUUGUAGAGGGUGCUUUGGCGUUGGUUGUGGUCUAAGUUCCUUGGAACAGGACGUCACAGAGGGUGAGAAUCCCGUACGUGGCCGCCAGCCUUCACCGUGUAAAGCCCCUUCGAUGAGUCGAGUUGUUUGGGAAUGCAGCUCUAAAUGGGAGGUAAAUUUCUUCUAAAGCUAAAUAUUUGCCAGAGACCGAUAGCGCACAAGUAGAGUGAUCGAAAGAUGAAAAGCACUUUGGAAAGAGAGUCAAAAAGCACGUGAAAUUGUUGAAAGGGAAGCGCUUGCAGCUAGACGUGCCUUGGGUUGAUCAGCCGGACUUUUGCCCGGUGCACUCUUCCUUUGGCAGGCCAGCAUCAGUUUGGGCGGCUGGAUAAAGGUCUGUUAAACGUGACUUCCUUCGGGAAGAGCUUAUAGGGCAGACGACAUGCAGCCAGCCUGAACUGAGGUCCGCGCAUCUGCUAGGAUGCUGGCAUAAUAGCUGUAAGCGGCCCGUCUUGAAACACGGACCAAGGAGUCUAACAUCUAUGCGAGUGUUUGGGUGUCAAGCCCGAGCGCGUAAUGAAAGUAAACGGAGGUGGGAACCUUUUAGGUGCACCAUCGACCGAUCUUGAUGUCUUCGGAUGGAUUUGAGUAAGAGCAUAGCUGUUGGGACCCGAAAGAUGGUGAACUAUGCCUGAAUAGGGUGAAGCCAGAGGAAACUCUGGUGGAGGCUCGCAGCGGUUCUGACGUGCAAAUCGAUCGUCAAAUUUGGGCAUAGGGGCGAAAGACUAAUCGAAC